AUCUACAGCCAUGCCACCCUGAACAAGCCCAAUCCCAUCUGAUCUCAGAAGCUAAGCAGUGUUGGGCCUGGUUAGUACUUGGAUGGGAGACCACCUAGGAAGACCAGAUGCUGUAGGUG
rnacentral:rRNA from 1 species